ACGGACGCUGGCGGCAUGCCUAACACCUGCCAGUCGAACGCGACCUUCGGGUCUAGUGGCGCACGGGUGCGUAACGCGUGGGAACCUGCCCUUAGGUUCGGAAUAACUCCCCGAAAGGGGUGCUAAUACCGGAUAAUGUCUUCGGACCAAAGAUUUAUCGCCUUUGGAUGGGCCCGCGUUGGAUUAGCUAGUUGGUAGGGUAAAAGCCUACCAAGGCGACGAUCCAUAGCUGGUCUGAGAGGAUGAUCAGCCACACUGGGACUGAGACACGGCCCAGACUCCUACGGGAGGCAGCAGUGGGGAAUAUUGGACAAUGGGCGAAAGCCUGAUCCAGCAAUGCCGCGUGAGUGAUGAAGGCCUUAGGGUUGUAAAGCUCUUUUACCCGGGAUGAUAAUGACAGUACCGGGAGAAUAAGCUCCGGCUAACUCCGUG
rnacentral:rRNA from 1 species